GGGACCAUCCUCCAAGGCUAAAUACUCCUGACUGACCGAUAGUGAACCAGUACCGUGAGGGAAAGGCGAAAAGAACCCCGGCGAGGGGAGUGAAAAAGAACCUGAAACCGUGUACGUACAAGCAGUGGGAGCACGCUUCGGCGUGUGACUGCGUACCUUUUGUAUAAUGGGUCAGCGACUUAUAUUCUGUAGCAAGGUUAACCGAAUAGGGGAGCCGAAGGGAAACCGAGUCUUAACUGGGCGUUAAGUUGCAGGGUAUAGACCCGAAACCCGGUGAUCUAGCCAUGGGCAGGUUGAAGGUUGGGUAACACUAACUGGAGGACCGAACCGACUAAUGUUGAAAAAUUAGCGGAUGACUUGUGGCUGGGGGUGAAAGGCCAAUCAAACCGGGAGAUAGCUGGUUCUCCCCGAAAGCUAUUUAGGUAGCGCCUCGUGAAUUCAUCUCCGGGGGUAGAGCACUGUUUCGGCAAGGGGGUCAUCCCGACUUACCAACCCGAUGCAAACUGCGAAUACCGGAGAAUGUUAUCACGGGAGACACACGGCGGGUGCUAACGUCCGUCGUGAAGAGGGAAACAACCCAGACCGCCAGCUAAGGUCCCAAAGUCAUGGUUAAGUGGGAAACGAUGUGGGAAGGCCCAGACAGCCAGGAUGUUGGCUUAGAAGCAGCCAUCAUUUAAAGAAAGCGUAAUAGCUCACUGGUCGAGUCGGCCUGCGCGGAAGAUGUAACGGGGCUAAACCAUGCACCGAAGCUGCGGCAGCGACACUAUGUGUUGUUGGGUAGGGGAGCGUUCUGUAAGCCUGUGAAGGUGUGCUGUGAGGCAUGCUGGAGGUAUCAGAAGUGCGAAUGCUGACAUAAGUAACGAUAAAGCGGGUGAAAAGCCCGCUCGCCGGAAGACCAAGGGUUCCUGUCCAACGUUAAUCGGGGCAGGGUGAGUCGACCCCUAAGGCGAGGCCGAAAGGCGUAGUCGAUGGGAAACAGGUUAAUAUUCCUGUACUUGGUGUUACUGCGAAGGGGGGACGGAGAAGGCUAUGUUGGCCGGGCGACGGUUGUCCCGGUUUAAGCGUGUAGGCUGGUUUUCCAGGCAAAUCCGGAAAACUAAGGCUGAGGCGUGAUGACGAGGCACUACGGUGCUGAAGCAACAAAUGCCCUGCUUCCAGGAAAAGCCUCUAAGCAUCAGGUAACAUCAAAUCGUACCCCAAACCGACACAGGUGGUCAGGUAGAGAAUACCAAGGCGCUUGAGAGAACUCGGGUGAAGGAACUAGGCAAAAUGGUGCCGUAACUUCGGGAGAAGGCACGCUGAUAUGUAGGUGAAGUCCCUCGCGGAUGGAGCUGAAAUCAGUCGAAGAUACCAGCUGGCUGCAACUGUUUAUUAAAAACACAGCACUGUGCAAACACGAAAGUGGACGUAUACGGUGUGACGCCUGCCCGGUGCCGGAAGGUUAAUUGAUGGGGUUAGCGCAAGCGAAGCUCUUGAUCGAAGCCCCGGUAAACGGCGGCCGUAACUAUAACGGUCCUAAGGUAGCGAAAUUCCUUGUCGGGUAAGUUCCGACCUGCACGAAUGGCGUAAUGAUGGCCAGGCUGUCUCCACCCGAGACUCAGUGAAAUUGAACUCGCUGUGAAGAUGCAGUGUACCCGCGGCAAGACGGAAAGACCCCGUGAACCUUUACUAUAGCUUGACACUGAACAUUGAGCCUUGAUGUGUAGGAUAGGUGGGAGGCUUUGAAGUGUGGACGCCAGUCUGCAUGGAGCCGACCUUGAAAUACCACCCUUUAAUGUUUGAUGUUCUAACGUUGACCCGUGAUCCGGGUUGCGGACAGUGUCUGGUGGGUAGUUUGACUGGGGCGGUCUCCUCCUAAAGAGUAACGGAGGAGCACGAAGGUUGGCUAAUCCUGGUCGGACAUCAGGAGGUUAGUGCAAUGGCAUAAGCCAGCUUGACUGCGAGCGUGACGGCGCGAGCAGGUGCGAAAGCAGGUCAUAGUGAUCCGGUGGUUCUGAAUGGAAGGGCCAUCGCUCAACGGAUAAAAGGUACUCCGGGGAUAACAGGCUGAUACCGCCCAAGAGUUCAUAUCGACGGCGGUGUUUGGCACCUCGAUGUCGGCUCAUCACAUCCUGGGGCUGAAGUAGGUCCCAAGGGUAUGGCUGUUCGCCAUUUAAAGUGGUACGCGAGCUGGGUUUAGAACGUCGUGAGACAGUUCGGUCCCUAUCUGCCGUGGGCGCUGGAGAACUGAGGGGGGCUGCUCCUAGUACGAGAGGACCGGAGUGGACGCAUCACUGGUGUUCGGGUUGUCAUGCCAAUGGCACUGCCCGGUAGCUAAAUGCGGAAGAGAUAAGUGCUGAAAGCAUCUAAGCACGAAACUUGCCCCGAGAUGAGUUCUCCCUGACUCCUUGAGAGUCCUGAAGGAACGUUGAAGACGACGACGUUGAUAGGCCGGGUGUGUAAGCGCAGCGAUGCGUUGAGCUAACCGGUACUAAUGAACCGUGAGGCUUAACCUU
rnacentral:rRNA from 1 species